GGAUUGCCUUCGCCGUCGCCAACAACCGCUACAAGGCGUCAUGCCCCCACUAUGCUUUCUACCGCCCGGGCAACCGCCUCUGGACGCCCCUCGCUCCCGCUCCGAACGCCGAGUCUUGCGAUUGGCCGGACGUCGAGUUCUACCGGAGGAAGUUCUACGUCGCGACGCGGUCGCAACUGCUCGUCUGCAAGAUCGACAAGGAGCCUCCGCGGAUGAAGGUGCUGGAAAGGGCCGGGCCAGAAGUGCGG
rnacentral:lncRNA from 1 species